rnacentral:tRNA from 1 species
GCCCCUGUAGCUCAGCGGUAGAGCGUCUGCAUGGUAAGCAGAAGGUCACGAGUUCAAUCCUCGUCGGGGGCU